rnacentral:lncRNA from 1 species
CCGACUUGAUCUAUCUCACAAUAGAUUGUCAGUAGAUGUUGGCAACCUCAAUUCAACUUCAUAUGGAAGUCUCCAACUAAAAGAGUUAAGACUAGCUUCAUGUAAUUUGUCCCAUUUUCCUAAUUUCAUCAAACAUUUGGAUAUGGAAAUAGUGGACCUCUCAAACAAUCGGAUUGGUGGGGAGAUACCUAGUUGGAUUUGGGGAACACAACUUCAGUCUUUGUUCCUCUCUUUUAAUCUUCUAACAGAUCUGCAAAAGCCUUACCAUAUCCCUACUUCUCUUGAAGAGCUAUACUUGGACUCUAACCAGCUCAAGGGUGAGUUGCACCUGCCCAUUCCAUCUGCGUCUCAACUCUGGUACUUGUCUCUUGCUAAUAACAGUUUAAGUGGAUCGAUUUCAACCUCCCUUUGCAGUGCCACGAGCCUCCUUGUUCUUGAUUUGUCUGGCAAUAGAUUAAGUGGCAGCAUACCCCCUUGCUUACUUGAAAACAUUUCAGAGUUAGAUCUAAGCCAAAACAACAUCAGCGGUAGCAUUCCAGAUAAUUUUCCUAUGUAUUGUAGCCUGAAAUAUUUGGAUCUUAACAAUAAUGCUUUAGAAGGGAAAAUCCCAAAGUCCCUUGAAAGAUGCGAAGGGUUGGAGUUCAUGAAUGUUGGGAACAACAACAUCACUGACAGUUUCCCGUGCUUACUAUCAUCCACGUGGUUGCGAGUUCUUGUUUUGCACUCUAACAGAUUCUAUGGAGAAGUAAGAUGUCACAACAUGAGCUGGCCACAUCUCCAAAUUCUAGAUAUAUCUUCCAAUCAGUUCAGUGGAAAUCUGGAAUCGAUAAACUUUUCUAGUUGGAAGACACUGAUGCUACAAUUGAGGUACGGCAAUACAGAUUUCCGGUUUUGGUUUUCAUUCAGCAUCACAUUAAUCAUGAAAGGGACAAAUUCAGAGUAUCACACGUUUUGGUUAGAGUUUGGUAUCAUUGAUUUGUCUUGCAAUAAUUUUGGAGGAGAGAUACCAAAUGCAAUUGGUGAUCUUACCUCACUUCAUCAGCUCAACUUCUCCCACAAUGCCCUCAAUGGAAGCAUCCCAAACUCAUUUGGUCAGUUGAGGAAUCUCGAAUCACUCGACCUCUCUGUAAAUCGACUCAUCGGGCCAAUACCAGUGGAGCUUGCAGGGCUCACAUUUCUUUCAUUCUUGAAUCUGUCCUACAAUAAGCUGGAUGGAGAGAUCCCAAAUGGGCGUCAGUUACAAACAUUUUCAGCUGAUUCCUUCAAAGGAAAUGCGGGGUUGUGUGGUUUCAAUCUCAACAUAAGCUGCAGUGAUAGUGAUGACAGUGAUCAUUUGUGGCCACAAGAAGAUGAAAAUGAAGAAGAGAAGAGUGAGAUCGAGUGGGAAUACGUAUCUGCUGCAGUUGGAUAUGUUGUGGGAUUAGGAAGCAUUGUCUGGUUACUUCUAUUCUGGCGAAGCUUCAGAGAAAGAUAUUUCGAGAAAAUAGAAGAGGUUGUUGACAAGAUGUUCUACGAGAGAGCGAGGAAAAGAAGGCAUGAAAGAAGAAGAAAAAUAGUAGAGAUGAGAAAAGAGAUUAGGAGACAGCAGCGAGGUUGAUGAUAUGCUAUUUCAUACUUAAAUAAACAAGGGUGUUUAGUGUUUGAUGUGAGUGUGAAUGUUUUGUUUUGCUGUUUUUUGUUUUUUUGUUUUUGUUUUUGGGCAUGUAAAAGAGAUUAUGUGUGUUGGUAAAUCAGAUUUGUGUUGGUUAAGAUAUCCUAGGGUUUCCCUUUACAUAUUCAGUCAUUUGUUGUCUUAUAUUGUUAUUAGAGUAUCUUUCAUUUUUCAGCAGCAAUAAAAUUGUAUCAGUUCUCUCUUGUUUCUCUGCUUCCUAUAUAUUGUUACACGGUAUCCGAGCCUGAUGGCUUUUCAAAUGUUUGAUUUUGUUACUCUGAGAACAUGAAUGAUGGAAGUAGUGCAUCGUAGACAAGGUCGUUGGUGACAGUUGUAGUAUAUAUCAAAAUAAUUAUUUUCAUAUUAUAAAGAUUAAAAAUAAUCAAGAUAAAUAAAAAACAUCUUAAAAUAUUGUCUUGUCCUUAAUUGGCGAAUUCAAGAUUAAAUUCACGACAAAAUCUAUUAUUAGAAUUGCCUCUUAAAUAGGGCAAUUCACGACCGGGAAUAAGUUUCAUUGUCAAUUGCCUUGUUUAAAGAGCAAUUAACAAUUAAACAUAUUCUUACUUGUGAACCCAAACAUCAAAGGUUGGGUAUAAAAUUGCAAAUAAUUCAAAAUCUAACAGGGCUUCGGGAGCUCUAUCUUGAUGAUGUGAAUGUUAAUUCCUCUCAUGAGAGGAGAAAAUGGAGCCACAUUAUAUCAUCAUAUUUGCCCAACCUCACCGCGUUGAGCUUGUCUGGGCCUUUAGCUAAGUCCAUUUGGCAAAUGAGGAGAGAGAUAGAGAGAGUAGUGAAAAAGUAAGAGAAAGAUAAAGUAAAUGAGAAAAGAGAUAGAGAGAGUGAAUAAAGUGAAUUAUUUUAUUUUUUUACGUUGUGACAUUAUAAAUGAAACGCCUAAAAAGGAAAUUUGAGACAAUAUCACUGGGACGAAGGAAGUAGGAAAGUUUUUAAUACAUCUUGAUUAUAAAAUAUUUAUAAUUUCUACUUAAAAUUCAAUUUAAUAAGUUGAACUAAACAAAAUUCAUUUAAUAAAAUAUAGUGAAACUUGGUUAUAAAAAAAUUGAUUUGCUUGUUAUAUUCACUUAUAUAUACUUAACUUAAGGAUAAUCGUGUUUUUUAAAACUAGAUAAUCUAUGAAAAUAUUGUUCAUUAUUAUUAUUAUUAUACUUGUCUUUUAAUAGAAAAUGUAUGAAAUGCCCAAAAAAAAAUUGUUUGUUAUUUAGAUUAUGCUUGUCUUUUAAUAAAAAAAAUGCCUAAAAUAUACGAAAUGUUCAAAAAAAAUAUUGUAAUGUAUUGAAACUAAUUUGUAAUAUAUUGAAACUAUAUAAUCUAUGAAAAUGUUGUUUGUUAUUAUUAUUAUUAUGCUCCUAUUUUAAUAAAAAAAAAUGCCUUAAAUAUACGGAAGCCCAAAAAAAAUUUCUCGGGGGCUACCGCCCCCGAACCCCGUAGUAAAUUCAGCCCCCUAAACUUAAUUCCUGGCUCCGUCCCUGAUUAGAGAUGAACUUUUUAGUUAAGUACAAAAUGAGACACCAAUUAUGAACUAAAUUAUUAAAAUAACUGGAUACAAAUAUUAAUAUUAUAAAGAGUAAGCAAGAAUAGCAGAAAAUCCUAAGCAAAUCUUGAGAUUUCCCACUCUCUUGAUUUGUCUUUGUUAGGUUGUAUUUCAAUUAAAAUGCUCGCUAUUUUAUGUUAUAAGUAAUUUUAGUGUGCAUGUUAAAUUUAUGCCUCGAUGACUUGGCUAUGAAAAGACCUAAGCCAGCGUCACCAUCAGAGACGCUGAUAGUCCUGCAUCAAUGAUUUCCUCGAUUAAAAUACUCCCUCCGUCCACGAAAUGAGUACCCAUUUGUGGACGGCACGGGUUUUAAGAAAUGUAUGGAGUGUACGUAGUGUGAAUAGUUUAAGAGUCCCACUUUUUUAGUGUAUUAAUUAAAGAGAUGUGUGGGGUACACUUGCCAAAAAGGGCAAUGGGUACUCAUUUCGUGGACGGAGGGGGUAAUAAAAUUUGAAAUUUAAUCUGGCUAUGAAAAGAAUCAAAAAGAGUUUUUACCGGGAAUUGUGUUUGCGUAUGGUUGGUUGGGGGCUAUACAAAAGUAGGGAUUUAAUUCUGGGCUAUGUUUAUGGGGUAAAAUUGUAAAUUUAUAAUUAAUUUUUUUAUUAUUUUAUAUGGGGGCUAUAGUGAGUAAAUUGGGGUUGUGAAUAGAAUUACCUGAAAUAAAAAGGCCUUCAAAAUUCUAACGUGAGUAAUCCAUAUUUUAUAAAGAAGGUUUCAAUUUUAAUGAGAUAAUAACACUAACUUGAUUAAGUCCAUAAAUUCGAUAAUAAGCCGAGAACAUGUGGGUGCAUCACUUGUUAAUUAGUAUUCUAUUUUUUCAAGCCCGAACUUUUUUUUAUCAUAAUUUGUAAAUGCUUAAGUUACUAUCCUAAAAAAUCCUCCGACUCUCAAAUUAAGGAUCAACAAAUUGCCAUUUGUAUAAACUAGUACAAGUCUACAUGGUUUGUGGUAAGCUUCUUUUUAUUAGACAUGGAACUUUUUAGUCCAAGAUUAGUUCUUAAGUACUAUAAAAUAAGACACCAACUAUGAACUAAAUGAUUACGGUAUAUUUUUUUAAUAAAAUAACUGGAUACAUAUAUUACUAUAUACUAUUAUACACGAAUUGCUUUAAUCUUCCAAGUCAACCAUUUAGUCUUUCCUUCUCUAAAAAAAAAGUAGUCUUCCUCUCAACCACAUCCACAUCCACAAGUAGUCUUUCUCUAUAUGAAAUAGUCGAAGAAAUAUUAAAAUUUAAUGAGCCAUCUUCUUCUUAAAAGACCUUUUAUUAUUCCAUACUUAUAUAUUGGAUUUGGAGACCGGAUCAUUACCGAGUCAAUGUGGGAUAGAAAGAAGGGUUAUUAGCCUGUAAAUACACGAAUUUUUUAUAUUUUCUGAAAUUUAACAUGACUUUUAUUUUUAGCCAACAAAUACGCGAACUUAGCAUUUUUUCUGAUUUUUGACAUCGACAAGAAUAAAUUUUAAUUUACUAUUAACGUGAAGGCCAGUAUACCAUGCCAUUCACUCUCUAAUCAAAAUAAUGAAUCAAAUUACUCUAUUUAAGUACAUAUCUCGUAGUCACGUCAUGUAUUCCGGCCUCCACCUCAACAAUAAAUAGAUUUUUUCAUGUCGAUGUCAAAAAUAAAAAAAAUGCCAAGUUCGUGUAUUUAUGGGCUAAAAAUAAACAACGGCGGAGACCGAUAGACGUGAGAAUAGGGCUAAAGGCUCCAACUGCCGACACACAUAUCUCAAGAAUGAAAAGGCAAUCAAACUUGGUUUAUUUUUUCCAAAGUGACAAAGUUUGGUACCAAGAAAAUGUUUUAUCGCAUUGGCCUACUUGAUUUAUAUUCCACAAUGAGUGUGGAAAAAGUUCAACCCUUGCAGCACGUCAACUAAACAUCUAAUCUCAUUUCAAAUUUAUUAUCAAAUUAACACAACACACUUUUGCAAACAACACACUUUUGGCGGUAACUAGCGAGCUCGGACAACUCACAUUCCUUACAUUCUUGAAUCUGUCUGGUCGGAACGAUCCCAAAUGGCCGUCAAUUCCUAAGAUUUUCCCUUAUUUACUUAGAUGGAUUGGAACUUUCGAAUAUUUCAAGGCUGGCUCAUGAUAAUUUCUGUUAUUUGAGUUAAUUUUGUGUGAUUUAUAUUCCACUGAAAAAUCAUAAUAUAGAGAAUAAAAAUAUUAUUAUUUUUCAAAUGUUUUGAAAUUAAUAAAUAUCUAUAUUUUUAAAUUCAAAAAAUAGGCCUACAUAAUUUGGAAUUUGAAGAAAAUGAUAGAACUGACAUGUGGCUUUAACGUGGGCUACCAAAGUUGACUGAGGUCUUCAAAGUUCAAAGUCCUAUCUUAAGUCAACCAUUCAGUCUUCUUCUCGAUAUAUAUUACUCCCUCCGUCCCGCGAGUCUUGACACGUUUUCCUAUUUGAGCCGUCCCACGAAUCUUGACACGUUUCUUUUUGGGCAAUAACGACUUUGGUGGACGUCGCCAACCACCAAAUAAUUCCUGCGGAAUUACCAAAAUAAAUUAGUAUAUUGGUAAGCAGGGUCGAUCCCACAGAGAGCAGUUAAAAUUCAUUCAAAUCCCUAAUCUAUAAAAACGGUGAUGCCACCACGCCUUAAAUUUAAGAGGAAUUAAUUAAACUAAAAGCAGAAUUAAAUCAAAUAAAAUAGCUUGAAGUAAAUCAAAUAAAAAGGGUAAUUCGGCUCAAAUAAAUCCACUCUAAUUCAACUCUGAUCCUCGACGCAAUAAUUAAUCAAUCCCUAUCAACCAACCAGUUAUAGGAUACCGUGAAACGCAACGGACGUACCCAAUACUACUUACUGUGUCGAUAAACAGCUGGAGAGCCAGACCUGCUUAUUUCCCUUAUUAAAAUAUAACCUAGCUGAAGACGCCAGACCUAGAUUUAAUAUUCUAAUAGCAUUAAGAUGAAGGAACCCAAUUUAUAUCAAUUAUCCUAGAGACGCUAGUAAUAAUUAAUAUACCAAUUAAUUCCCCCUACGAACACGGUAGUUGUAUCACUAAUUAGUCCAAUUCCAACAAUUACGGAUUGGCAGGAACUAAUUGACUGUAAUUCAAUUAAACUUAAGUUGAUCAGGCUUAAAUAAAAUCAGAAUUAUCUUGGAACCUAGGAAUUAAUCGGAAUCAAUAGGAAUCAAUUUUAAACCAAUUAGGUCUCACAGAUCAUUAAAUUAGAGUUUCAUUAUUCUCGCCGAAUUAAAAGAUUUAGCUACUCAUGCUUGAAAUAAAAACAAUCAAAUAAUUAAAAUUAAACAUACGGAAAUAAUCGAAAUAAGCUGAGAAAUAAAUUUGCAAGAAAUAAAUCAAACUUGAAUUAACCCAAUACUCGACUGCUUCCUUUGUUUCCAAUCCAGCCGCUAUCAAUAGUUGAGUGAACAAGAAUUAAAACUAAAGCAACCUUGGAAUCAAUUCCAAAACACGUAAAGCACAAUUUGCAUGAAAGAAAAGAUUGCAUGAAAAAUUAAAGGUCAACUAUGCUUAAAAAAAUCAAAAGUUGCGGCUACUGCAAAGUGAAUGUGUAUAAACUAAUCAAAAGUAAAACCUAAUAAUCCUUAGUCCACACAUGCGGCUAGGUCUAAUGCAAAUAAAAUAAGAGUCCUCCUCUCAUAAGAGUCCUAAUCUCAUAAAAAUACUAUAUGCGGCACUUAUGGAAACAAAAGUAGGGAAUUAAAAUUCCCUUAAGCUGCCGCCUACCAUAACUACACGGGCUUCGGCCCUUAACAAAAAGAAUCAAACCCAAGAAUAACUAAUUAAAAAAAAUGAGUUUUGGACUUAAUUAAAAUUGGAAUAAUUAUCUUCAAGCCCAAUCUCUAAAAAUCUUCCAUCUUCACGUCGAAUCCCAUCGCAAGCUUGUCUUUCUCCACUUUCUUCCAAUUAGUAGCUCCAUCUCCAAUUCUUCUCAUUCCUGCGCCAAAACAUAGCAAAACAUGUAAUAUCACAUGAAACCACGGCAAAACGUACACUAAACUAGGUAGCUAAAAUACACACAUCAGACUUUUUUUACUUAGCAAACUCUUGCAAAUAACUAAUUAAUUUUUAGUAAUUAUUAAAUUCAAUUUUUGAGUGAUGCUAUGAGAUAAAACUACCUAUGGUCCAUUCUAAUACCAAGCUUAUUGCAUUAAUCAACAAAUCAACUCAUCCACCUUCUAGAACAAAUGAAAGUUGCUAAAAAGCUGGCACUAAGUUAAUUAAUAGAUACUUUAUAAGUGCAAUAGUCUUUCUAGUGGCUUAUUUAAAGCCACUUGCACAAGUUUGUAGAAAACACAAAUUAAAAUCACAAUACUAUCAAUUAAUAGCCUCUUCAUCACAAUGCUUCCAAAGUUGUUCUUCGUCAUUUCUACACUAAUUUCCUCCUUCAUUUUCACUACUCAUUCUUAUAAUACCCAAUGUCUUCACCAUCAGAAAAUCUUGUUGCUUCAACUCAAGGAUGAGUUGAGUUUCAAUUCUUCUCUUUCAACAAAAUUGGUGCGAUGGAAUGAAAGGGAUGAGUGCUGCAAGUGGCACGGUGUGGAAUGUGAUGUUGCUGGCUACGUCGUCAGUUUGCAGCUCGAUAAUGAGUCCAUUUCUGGUGGAAUCGCGGAUUCAUCGAGUCUCUUCAGACUUGUGCAUCUGCAGAAGCUAAAUCUAGCCUACAAUUAUUUCAACAACACUCCCAUCCCGAAAGGUAUUCACAAUCUCACCUAUUUGACACACUUGAAUUUAUCCGAUGCUGGAUUUGGUGGGCAGGUUCCCGCUGAAAUUUCUUCCUUGAGGAGGUUGGUUAGUCUCGAUAUCUCCUCUGAUUAUAUAUUUGUGAAACUGGAGAUGCUUGUCCGAAAUCUAACAGGGCUUCGGGAGCUUUAUCUUGAUGAUGUGAAUGUUAAUUCCUCUCAUGAGAGGAGAAAAUGGAGCCACAUUAUAUCAUCAUAUUUACCCAACCUCACCGCGUUGAGCUUGAGUGAUUGUGGUUUAUCUGGCCCUUUAGCUAAGUCCUUUUGGCAACUCCAUUCCCUUUCCAUCCUUCGACUAGAUUAUAACAAUCUUGGACCAGAACUUCCAGACUUGUUCGCCAAUUUUCCAACUUUGACCACUUUGUCUCUUUCUAACUGCAGUUUGAAGGGUUCGAUUCCAUCCACCUUUGCUAACCUAACCAACCUGAUUCGUCUCGAUUUGUCAGACAAUUCAUUCUCUGGUAAUAUUCCCCACUCUCUCUUUGCUCUCCCUUCAUUGUUGGAACUUGAUCUUAGCUACAAUCAGUUUAAUGGCACUUUUCAACUGGACAAGUUUCUAAGUCUUGCCAAUCUAACCCUACUUGAUCUAUCUCACAAUAGAUUGUCAGUAGAUGUUGGCAACCUCAAUUCAACUUCAUAUGGAAAUCUCCAACUAAAAGGGUUAGGACUAGCUUCUUGUAACUUGUCCCAUUUUCCUAAUUUCAUCAAAUAUUUGGAUAUGGAAUACUUGGACCUCUCAUACAAUCGGAUUGGUGGGGAGAUACCUAGUUGGAUUUGGGGAACACAACUUCGGGAUUUGGACCUCUCUUAUAAUCUUCUAACAGAUCUGCAAAAGCCUUACCAUAUCCCUGCUUCUCUU